GGCCGGUUGCCCGAAUGGUAAGGGCAUUCUCUGCAAAAGAAUUGUUUACAGGUUCGAUCCCUGUACCGGCCU
rnacentral:tRNA from 1 species